ACGCUGGCGGCGUGCUUAACACAUGCAAGUCGAACGAUGAAGCCUAGCUUGCUAGGUGGAUUAGUGGCGAACGGGUGAGUAAUACGUGAGUAACCUACCUUUAACUCUGGGAUAAGCCUGGGAAACUGGGUCUAAUACCGGAUACGACCAAUCUCCGCAUGGGGUGUUGGUGGAAAGCGUUAUGUAGUGGUUAUAGAUGGGCUCACGGCCUAUCAGCUUGUUGGUGAGGUAACGGCUCACCAAGGCGACGACGGGUAGCCGGCCUGAGAGGGUGACCGGCCACACUGGGACUGAGACACGGCCCAGACUCCUACGGGAGGCAGCAGUGGGGAAUAUUGCACAAUGGGCGCAAGCCUGAUGCAGCGACGCCGCGUGAGGGAUGACGGCCUUCGGGUUGUAAACCUCUGUUAGCAGGGAAGAAGAGAAAUUGACGGUACCUGCAGAGAAAGCGCCGGCUAACUACGUGCCAGCAGCCGCGGUAAUACGUAGGGCGCGAGCGUUGUCCGGAAUUAUUGGGCGUAAAGAGCUUGUAGGCGGUUUGUCGCGUCUGCUGUGAAAGGCCGGGGCUUAACCCCGUGUAUUGCAGUGGGUACGGGCAGACUAGAGUGCAGUAGGGGAGACUGGAACUCCUGGUGUAGCGGUGGAAUGCGCAGAUAUCAGGAAGAACACCGAUGGCGAAGGCAGGUCUCUGGGCUGUAACUGACGCUGAGAAGCGAAAGCAUGGGGAGCGAACAGGAUUAGAUACCCUGGUAGUCCAUGCCGUAAACGUUGGGCACUAGGUGUGGGGGACAUUCCACGUUUUCCGCGCCGUAGCUAACGCAUUAAGUGCCCCGCCUGGGGAGUACGGCCGCAAGGCUAAAACUCAAAGAAAUUGACGGGGGCCCGCACAAGCGGCGGAGCAUGCGGAUUAAUUCGAUGCA
rnacentral:rRNA from 1 species